rnacentral:misc_RNA from 1 species
AAUUCUCAACCUUUCUAGUUUUCUCGACUAGUUAGGCUUGGAUUUUGGAAGUUGCUGGCUCAACACGAAUCAGCUCUUCUUAAAUGUAUUAGCAGAGACCUUUGCUGACCAUCUUUGGUAUGAUAAUUAUCUAUAUCAUUGAUAACCAGUUUCCUUUAUGGAGAGGUUUUGCUUAUAAUAGUCUAUUUUAGACAAUUUGACAA